rnacentral:rRNA from 1 species
UACGAAGGGGGCUAGCGUUGCUCGGAAUCACUGGGCGUAAAGGGCGCGUAGGCGGCCAUUCAAGUCGGGGGUGAAAGCCUGUGGCUCAACCACAGAAUUGCCUUCGAUACUGUUUGGCUUGAGACCGGAAGAGGUAAGUGGAACUGCGAGUGUAGAGGUGAAAUUCGUAGAUAUUCGCAAGAACACCAGUGGCGAAGGCGGCUCACUGGCCCGGUACUGACGCUGAGAUGCGAAAGCGUGGGGAGCAAACAGG